AAGGCAGCAGGCACGCAAAUUACCCACUCCCGGCACGGGGAGGUAGUGACAAAAAAUAACGAUACGGGACUCAUCCGAGGCCCCGUAAUCGGAAUGAGUACACUUUAAAUCCUUUAACAAGGAUCCAAUGGAGGGCAAGUCUGGUGCCAGCAGCCGCGGUAAUUCCAGCUCCAUUAGCGUAUAUUAAAGUUGUUGCGGUUAAAAAGCUCGUAGUUGGUUCUGCGUCCCACGAUGCUGGUUCACCGCCUGACGGUGCAACUGGCAUGCCGUGGGAUGUCCUGUCGGUGGUGGCCUUGGCCCACGGCGUGUCUAGGUACUACUCCGAAGCACGUCGUGUGUCGCCAAGGAUCGCCGAUCCAAUCCUGCCUCGGUGCUUUUUAUCGAGUGUCGAGGUGGGCCGACACGUUUACUUUGAACAAAUUAGAGUGCUCAAAGCAGGCUAAUUAUGCCUGGAUAUUGGUGCAUGGAAUAAUGGAAUAUGACCUCGAUUCUAUUUUGUUGGUUUUCGGAAUCCGAGGUAAUGAUCAAUAUGGACAGGCGGGGGCAUUCGUAUUGCGACGUUAGAGGUGAAAUUCUUGGAUCGUCGCAAGACGGACUAGAGCGAAAGCAUUUGCCAAGUAUGUCUUAGUUGAUCAAGAACGAAAGUUAGAGGUUCGAAGGCGAUCAGAUACCGCCCUAGUUCUAACCAUAAACGAUGCCAGCCAGCGAUCCGCCGAUGUUCCUCCGAUGACUCGG
rnacentral:rRNA from 1 species